rnacentral:rRNA from 1 species
AUGGUCGCAAGCCUGAUCCAGCCAUGCCGCGUGUGUGAAGAAGGCCUUCGGGUUGUAAAGCUCUUUUGUUGGGAGGAAGUAGGUGUNGGUUAAUACCNUGNGGUUUUGACGUUACCCACAGAAUAAGCACCGGCUACAUUCGUGCACGCAG